UACGGGGGGAGCAAGCGUUGUUCGGAUUUACUGGGCGUAAAGGGCGCGUAGGCGGCGCAACAAGUCACUUGUGAAAUCUCCGGGCUUAACUCGGAAAGGUCAAGUGAUACUGUUGUGCUAGAGUGCGGAAGGGGCAACUGGAAUUCUCGGUGUAGCGGUGAAAUGCGUAGAUAUCGAGAGGAACACCUGCGGCGAAGGCGGGUUGCUGGGCCGACACUGACGCUGAUGCGCGACAGCGUGGGGAGCAAACAGG
rnacentral:rRNA from 1 species